rnacentral:rRNA from 1 species
CAGCCGCCGCGGUAAUACAGAGGGUGCGAGCGUUAAUCGGAUUUACUGGGCGUAAAGCGUGCGUAGGCGGCUUUUUAAGUCGGAUGUGAAAUCCCUGAGCUUAACUUGGAAUUGCAUUCGAUACUGGGAAGCUAGAGUAUGGGAGAGGAUGGUAGAAUUCCAGGUGUAGCGGUGAAAUGCGUAGAGAUCUGGAGGAAUACCGAUGGCGAAGGCAGCCAUCUGGCCUAAUACUGACGCUGAGGUACGAAAGCAUGGGGAGCAAACAGGAUUAGAUACCCCCGUAGUCCCUGUCUCUUAUACA